rnacentral:rRNA from 1 species
ACUCAAAUGAAUUGACGGGGGCCCGCACAAGCGGUGGAGCAUGUGGUUUAAUUCGACGCAACGCGAAGAACCUUACCCAGACUUGACAUUGAUGGAAUCCCUUUGAAAAUUGGGAGUACUCUUCGGAGACCUGAAAACAGGUGCUGCAUGGCUGUCGUCAGCUCGUGUCGUGAGAUGUUGGGUUAAGUCCCGCAACGAGCGCAACCCUUGUCGUUAGUUGCCAUCAGGUUAUGCUGGGCACUCUAGCGAAACUGCCGGUGUUAAACCGGAGGAAGGUGGGGAUGACGUCAAGUCCUCAUGGCCUUUAUGUCUGGGGCUACACACGUGCUACAAUGGCAGCUACAAACCGACGCGAACUCGCGAGAGGGUGCAAAUCGGAAAAAAGCUGUCUCAGUUCGGAUUGGAGUCUGCAACUCGACUUCAUGAAGUUGGAAUCGCUAGUAAUCGUGGAUCAGCAUGCCACGGUGAAUACGUUCCCGGGCCUUGUACACACCGCCCGU